GAUUUAAGAUACAUGCAUAGUGUAGUGAUUACAUAGUGACGCGGGGAGGGCGGAGUGUCACAUGCUGCCAGGCAUAGCCCCACCCCGUGCGUCACUGGCACCGCCUCCGGGGCACAGACCCACCGUGCCUCCUCCCCAGCCUGGGUACACUACACACGGAUGCCGUGGCUGCGGGACCCGCGGAGGUGAUGGACGGAGCUGACUGCACACUGAAAGAGCUGCUGAGGGGCCAGGACUCAGAGCAUCUGCAGGGCAAGGUGUCAGGCCAGCUGGUGGUACUGGAGAGAGUAGCCACCCGCAGCCAAGGUUGUUCUCCUGGAAUUAGACACACGAAGGGCUAAUCCUGCAAAAGAUCGUGUUACAUAGGUGGAAACCUUGUGGCAAACUCCAGCAUUCGUUAUGUAGUUAGAGGCCAAACGAUGAAGUCUUUCUGACCCAAAAGUGUUGAAAUGCCCAGGUAGCACUUUCUCCACCAGACCCCUGGCCACCAAUCCCUUGAGACGCUCGCAGGAUCUAACAUAGUCAGGAAUAUUGCUGUAAGGGAGCCAGUCGAUCAUCGAUCCAUCGUAAGCAACAUCACCACUAAAUAGCAUCUUGCGAUCCCGGUCAUGUAAGCAGAUACUUCCUCUGGAGUGUCCUGGCAUAUGCAUCACCGUCAGCUGUCUGUCACCGAGGCUAAUGAUGUCCCCUACAAAAUAUAAAAGAUGGCGUGCUGAACAUCAUGGACUAACAACAAAAAGGUGACGCACAAGAAACAACCAAAAAGAAGCCAAAAUACCCUCAAGUGAUAACAUGACAUGCUGUUCAGUAAUAUGUGCUUUUAAGAGAAUAAACUUUAUUUCAAUAA